UUGGAUGGACUAUAUGUCACACCCCGAUUUAGGUUUUUCUCUCUAACCUAAAUCGUGGCAUGAUAAGACAUUUUUGAAAACGACAUUUUUCAACUUAAAUUUUAUAGAAAUUACAUUAAGAAAUUCUACAAAAAUUUUGGCAGCAUCUCCCCUAAAAUUUGAGGUAGCCAAACCUGAAAAUGGAGAUAUCUUCACUUCUAAACGUAUAUAACUAGAUUUCAGAUACUACAACACAACAAGUGUGUCUCACCACACACCUCCAGACAAUCUCAGAGUGCAAGUAGAGUUUAAGAAUCAAGCUAGAUAUUACAUACAAAACGAUUACGUUCUAAUGAGGAAACUUUCAAAACACAAGUCCUUAGCGUCACCCUUGUUACAUCUAACCACCCCAUGAUACAAACGCAAAAUUAUAAUCGAUGACGGGGAUUCAACCGACGCUUAGUCCUUGGCCGCUACCUGGGGAAGAAGAAAAACAUUGAAAACAUAAGCUGAAAGCUCAGUGAAUGACAAAUAAUUAGAUAUGAAAAAUUGUAAAAUAUGCUCAAAAUAACGUGUAAGUAUGCAUUGAUAAUGAAAUAAUUAUAAAUCAAAUGUCAUCAUUACAUAAUACUAUACAACACGGAUCAAGCCGAUAAACCUGUACUCAAUCCACCAUGACAAGGAAUCUAAAUAUACGACCAAGAAUAGCUCGCACAUGAUCAAAGAAUCAUGCGGUCACAACUAGCUCACACAUAUUUAGUACUGACCACGAUAGUAACCUCUAUCCAAUCCGACCAUGAUAGCAUACUAAAUACACGAUCCAAAAUAGCUCACACAUGAUCCAUAUACACAAGGAAACAUGCGGCCAAAUAUAACUCACAUAAUACUUAGCACCUACCAUAGUAACAACAUCCAUCCAAUCCAACCAUGAUAGCAUACUAAAUACACAGUCCAAAAUAGCUCACAUGUGAUCCAUAUCCUCAAAGAAACACACGGUCAAAUGGGGCUCACGCAUACUUAGCACCUACCACAGUAACAACCUCCAUCCGCUCCUAUGUGCACAUAGAGCCACCCACAAUGUGUUAAACUAGGCCUGAAGCCAUAUCUCAAUCCUCCAUCCAUAUCCUCACUUAAACUCAAGUUCUCGGAUCUCUGGUCACGGUCUCUUUCAGCCCCAAAAUCCUCUGACAAUCGUAGGUAGUGCUUCGGAAACACAUUCGUGUAGCUUAUGGGUAAAUCACCAUCAUUAAUAAAAUCACAUAGUUCACACUUAAAAACCAGACAUGGUCCUUAGUCAUCAACACAUACUUUUUUAGUAACAUUUUUAUAAAAAUUCUAAACAUACACAUUCAUAAAAUCAUUGUGAGUAAAUAUGUUGUUUAAGCAUAAAUGGAAACAUAGUUAUAACAAGUUUAAAUUGGAGUAGUUUCCAAGUUAUAUCAUAAAUAACAUGUACAAGUACAAACAAAGCUUGAAAACGAGCCACUCAUAGUCAAUGACUCGAUCUUCCAGGAUUAUAUGCUCUUUCCACUUCAAUUUGGCCUAAAAUAAGGAUCAUGGUCAUAUCAAUAUCUUUAUAUGAUAUGAGGCUACAAUUAAUUGCAAAAGUACUUCGUAAGGUCGCUAAAAUCUAUUUGAUGCUUCUAAUGUCCUUGAAUCUAUAAAGCGCCUAAGAUUAGACUAAACAUUUCACAUACGAUCCCUUAAACUCGCGGAAAUCUCAAUACUUAACCCAAUGAGCAUCCAACUUAGUUCAAGCUCAAUGGGUCCUUUACUCCAUAUUUUUCCAAAAAUUUGCCAGCUUUAAUAGGCUAACUUCAACUACUCAUAACUUCUUCAAUACUUAAUAAACAUUUAUGUACUUUAUAUCCAAAUCUUCAUUUUGGAAUCCUCUACAACUUACUUGAAGGAAUAGAAAUGAGAUUUCCUAGGGAUUAACACAAAAUUCGCCCGAAACGCAGGUAAGGAAAACUCACAUCUUUUGCUUACUUCCAAUUUUGAUCUGAAUUUAACCUACUUUCCUUCAUUUUUAGUUCAUGAUUUGUUUGUGAAAGUUGUAGGAAAUUUAACAAGAGCUCCUAACUCAAAGAGUAUAAUUCAGAAUACAAAAAAAAAACUAGAGACUUUAUGAAUUUGUUUUAAAAAUUUGUGAUCCAACUUCUUCCACAAAAAUCAUCAACUAAACUUGAGUAUUUGCUUGAACUUCCUUCACAACUUUUGUUGAAAAAUGAAUUAACUUUGAAAUAAAACUAACCUUAUAUUUUAAUUCUUCUUGUGUAGCUCAAACCAAAAUAAAAACUACCAAUGGUCUGUGAAAACCAUUCCAAACCUUACCAUUAACUUAAUAAAUACCAUUAACUUCAAUGAACAACACCCCCACUACCUUCUAAAUUCGAAAAUUAAGCAUCCAACAUCAUGGUUUAUUCGAUACUAUCACUAAAAUUAUAUGGGUAUCAAGACUUACUCCAUAAUGCUUAGAAACUUACCCAAGUUGUGCGAAAAGAUCCAAUUCCAAGCUUCCUAAAGGCUGGACAACAACUAAAAUCUUCACAGACUCCAAAUCUAACAACAAAAUUUAAUUGGCAUUGCAAAAUCAAAAUCUGCAAAAUCGAAACUUAAUGGGUGUUCAAAAAAACAUCAAGUAAUCCAACUAAAAUUAGUAAACCCUUACCUGAAACUCCAAAAUCCAACUAUCAAUAACAAGAUUGAGUGAGAGGAAACUCUGUACAUGAGAUUUAUUCAAAACCCAUGCAAUAGUGAUGUGAGUUGUAACUUGAGCAACCAAGGGACGAUGCAGCUCAGAAACAACUGAACCAAGUCGGUGUUGCGUUUCAGAUCUAGCGUGGAUGACGUGUGUUGUGGCGGCUGAUCGUCGACUAGCGAAUCAAACAGGGGUUCCUCGUCGACGUGUGGGUGUGCAACCUAUCAGUUGUGGCGUCUUAGAUUCCUAUCCAAUUCCUAAAAGAAUUAGGAAUGAUAUUUAAGAUUUUUUAAAACAAAUCUAAUUCCUACAAAGAUUAGAAAUGAUAUUUAAUCAUUUUUUAUAACAAAUCUAAUUCCUAAAAGGAUUAGAAAUAAUAUUUAAUUUUUUUUAAUAAUAAAGAAAAGAUAAUUCAAUUAUCUUAUCUUAUUAUAUUCAAUAUUUAAAAUAGAAAAGAUAAUCUAUCUUAUCUUAUUUUAAAUUUUUUCAUUUUUUGGGAUAAUCAUGAGUUUAUUUUUUUAGACAAUCAAGGUGUUUGGAUAUUAUCUCCUAUUUUAAAAUUAAAAUUUGGGUUCAAAAUCCAAGUCAAAUUAACUUACAUAUGUGGCAUUCUAUUUAUCUAAAAUUAAAAUCGAAGUCAUCAAUCCAACUUUAUCCCAAAAUGCAGUCUUUUAUUUAUCUCAAAUUAAAAAUGGUCAUUCCAAAUUCUUGUGCAUCUUGAAGAUAAGUUAGGGUUUGGUAGAAACACAUCAUCCUUAUUUCAAAUUAAAAUUUGGUUAUGUUCCAAUUUUUUUUUUUAGAAAAAAAUGAAAUUUAAAAUUUUAUCUUCAAAUCAAAUUGAAUUAAAGAUAAAACCCGAAACUUUUCUCAAAUUAAUUAAGGUUUAGCCAUAUACCAACUCUUAUUUCAAAUUUAAAUCAAACUUAUGUACUAAUUUCAUAGUUUGAUUUUUUUUAAAAAAAUGAUCAUAUUUUGACUUCAAAUUUAUCUUUUUCGAGAUUCAUUCAUCAAUUACGUGCAUAAAUCUCGAAAAUGGGCAUUUGUUGAAUAUGAAAUUUUAAGACCAAUCAUAAAUUACCACAUCAUUUACUAAAGUAAUGAUGUAAAGUACAAAUAAUUGAAUUUGAAACUAAUUAAAAAAUUAACAUAUGUCCCAAAUUAAAAUUGAAAACAUAAACCGGUCAAUUAUGAUAAUGUCACAUGUUUUGAUCAUAACUUUUGGAUCAAGUUAAUUAUUUUGAUUCAAUUAAAUAUUAUGUAUUAGGGCUAAGUUCAAUUGAGCAAAAAAAAAUAGGACUGUCAAGAAAAAUAACAAAUUAUGACUUUUACUUUGAGAAAAUAACAAAAAUAUAAAUUGUUAAAAUAACAAAACAUAAAAAAUAAAAAAAUAAAUAACAUAUAUGUAAGAUACAAUUGUUCACCUAAAUCUCAAAGACAUUGUAAUUGAAAUAUAUAUGCUACAUAAAAAUUUCCUCCAAAAACAUAAAGAUUAGAAAAUUUUCCUCCAAAAACAUAAAGAUUAGAAAAGUUAUCAUUAAAGGGAAGCUCAAAAUUUAAAAAUCUCUGAAAGUGAUCAUUUUUUCCUUGGAUUUCAGCCGCUUACUUCCUUCUUUCAUUUGAAACCCUAAAGAAAGUAUGAACCAUUUGAAACCAUCAAUUCAUCAAAGAAUUCAAAAGUGGAGCAGUGUUGAUAUUAUAAUAAAGAUGAAAUCAUGAAAUUAUACCAUAGAAUUCAAAACUAAUAUACAUCUUAGCAAGAUACGCAUCGGUGAGUUCGUCUACUCAAUUCGGUGAGUUCUUCAAGUUCUUCAUACAUUCAAGAUUCAUUUGAGCUCUUUUCUUCUCUUGUUUGAAAACAAACUACCUCUCAUUAUAUUUGUCUCUGUUCGGCUGCUUCCUCUCUCAAUCACCUUCUUUUCUUUUCUCUCAUAAAACCUAAAACUAAAAUAUUCAAAUAAUUGUAAAAGUGUCAUUGAAGCAUAAUUAAAUUAUAAAAUUUAAAUUCAAAUUGUUGUUAAAAAUAUAUAUUUAAAAUCAAAUUCAAAUUGUUAUAAAAAAAUAUAUAUUAUAUAUUAUUUAAUAAAUUGUUAAAAAAUGGUUUAAAAUAUAACAAAUUUGAAAAUAUUGUAGAUAAUAAAAUAUAAUAAAUUAUUUAAAAUAUAACAAAUUCAAAUUCAAAUUUAUGAUGGGAUUAGAUUGAGGAAUAGUUGAAAAUCCCCCACUUUUUUAGGAAAAAUAUUUAUUAAAGAUAAGUGAAUUAAAUAAAUAAAUGUUAAUUAAUUUGAUUUAAAUACUAAAAAUUUGAAAAUGGGUUAUGAAUUGUAGACAUAUAUUUAGUAGAUAUUGGAGAAAUCUUGCCAAUCCUAAAAAUAUCAUAAAUUAGUUAAUAUUUUUCAAAACUGAUUGCAGUUUGCAAAUACAUCGUAUCGGUAAAACACAUAUUAUCCUACAUAAAAAGGUAUAAACACGUAUUGUCCUACAUAAUAAGAUAUAAACACGUAUUAUCCUACAUAAUAAGAUAUAAACACGUAUUAUACUUAUUGAUUUAGACAUACAUAGCAAGGAUGAUUGGAAAUAAAACGUCACAUACAAAAUAAAACGUCUAAUUAAAAUAAAUAUGAAUAUUAACGUAAUUAAAAAACACAAUGUGAAAAAAUAAUUAUUUGAUACAAGUGGCACAAUAAGUUAUGUUUUUUUAAAAUAAAAAUCAACCAAAAUAAGUGUAUGAUCAUAAUUAGCACGUUUAUAGGGAUGAAAUAUAAUGACUCAGGAAUUGUUGAAAUUCUCAUAACCAUUUUUUAUAUUAUUCAUACGUACUAUUUAUUAUCUAACAAUUUUUUAAAAAUAAUUUGAAAUAUAAAUCAUAUGAAAAAUAGUGAAUUGAUGAUUGCCAUUAUUUUAGGGUUUGGAUUUCAUAAUAUUUGAAUUCAAAAUAUUUAUAAAUCUAAUGAAUAAGUAACAGUCGAAAAUCUUUUAGCAAUUUUUGCGAAAAAAUCUUUAUUAAACAUCUUUUAUGAAUUAAAUAAAUAAAUGUUAAUUAAUUUGAUUUAAAUACUAAAAAUCCAAAAAAUUGUUAUGAAUUAUAGACAUAUAUUUAGGGAAUAUUGGGGAAAUCUUGUCAAUCCCAAAAUAUCAUAGUUAAUAUUUUUCAAAACUGAUUGUAGUUUGUAAAUACCCUAUAUGUGAUAUUUGGCCUCAUUAUUUGCACGCAAAUACAUUGUAUCUGUAAAACACGUAUUAUCCUACAUACAAGGUAUAAACGGGUAAAAAAAAUCUUUGAUACAUUGUGUGUAGGUUGUUGUGUAUUUACUUCAUUGUUCAAACACGAUGUAUUUCUGAUUGACCCAACAGGUGCAGAAUCAACAACCACGACAAAAUCAUUGUCAGAGAAUUUUGUCAUAAUCCACAUAAGCCACUACACGUCUUCGUCUUCAACAAUCUGAAUAAGGUUUGAACUAUUGCAUCCAUCCCAAUAAAGGGUAAUGUGACACACAAAAAGAUCUAAAGAUGGAAAAAGUUUAUCUUGAAUGCACUGUAAGAAUACUUGAAAUGAAGAUGAGCAUGAAACAAAUACAUCAACCACACGAUACUCAAUAUAUCGAGAAUAUUCCAUCCAUCUUCCAUAAAAAAAGAGUCUUCACAUGUUGCAUUGUCAUUAGAAGAAACAAUAGAUGAUAAAGGUAAAGGAAUUAAAAGAUAGACGAACAAUAAAGUCGACAGUUGCUGAGAAAAAAAUUCUAAAAUAUGAUAAAUGCAAAAUUAUUUACCAAACUACAAAUAAAUUCAUUUGAAUAGUGUUGUACCUCAAAAUAAAAGUCUAAUUAAAAAACUAUGUAGGCUAAAUGAUACAAUUAGAUAAUUUUAGAUAAAAAUCAUAUUAUUCUCUUGAAUUUUUUGGGAUAUUGGCAUUUGAAUAAUAUUGUUUAGUGUUUUGGUGGUCUUAAAUCAAACUUUAAAAUGAACUUUUAAAUAAUAUUAAAUAAUAUCUAUGGAAAAUAUAUCUUAUUUAACGAUAGUUCUAUAAAAGGAUUUUAUUCCCCCUAAUUUCGAUGCAUUUAACGUAUGUAUCAUUAUUUUAAUGAAAAUUUUGUCAUUCAUACACAUGUUAUACUAACAUAUAUUUUUGUUAAAUAAUGUUAAUUCAUUAUUAUUAAUAUGACCAAUUCAUUUAUGAAAUAUUUGUUACAUGCAUAAUUAUAGGGUUUAGGCACGAUACACUAAGUUGUUAUUAUAUUAAAUGCAUAAUUUUAGGGAAAGAUAUAAUUUUAAAUUCAUUUUGAAGAUCUUCCAACUAAAACUUUUAAAAUCAAGUGAUAAAAUAAAUAUUUAUUACAAUAUAUAUAAUCCGAAAACAAUUAAGGAUAAAUAUGAAAAUUUUUGAAUUUAUAUGAUAUGUUUAGAUAUUAAUAAUAAUUAACCAAACCUUAAGGAACGUACAAUGAAUAAAUUAUAAUGAAUCAUUUUAUGAAAAAUUAUGUAUUUAUAAGAUAUAAUAACAUGUUAUUAAGAAUUAAGCAAAGAUUAUAAAACGUACCCUGUAGGAAUAAUAUUAUCAAUGAUUUUAUGGUGUAAAUUAAAUAGUGUGAAAUAAAUAUAUAUUUUAUUAAAAAUAAUUUGUUAAGCAUUUGAUUUGAAGUGUACAAAUCUGAUUAUCGGUUAUAAAUUGAAGGCAUGAAUCUAACAUUUGUUGGUUAAAUGAGAUCAAUAUGAAAAAUAAAUAUUUAUUUAAUAUUAUUAUAAAAUUGAAUUAUAUGCAAAUACACUAUAAUCGUAAUUCUGUGUUACAUUAUAUUAUUUUACGCUGCAGAAAUACACUAAGUGAAAAAAAAUGAGUUUCAUAUUAUCAAUGGAUAAAAUUGGUUCAAAAUUUGUCAAAAAAAAAAAAAAAAAAAGAUCUAUUUCAUGCGAUUUUACCAAAUAUCAAAUUAUUUUGAAAAUUUUAUAUUUUCCAAAUUGUACUAUAUUAUUUUGUCAUUCUCACGCUUAUCUAAAAAAAUAAACUUAAUUGAGUUCAAAAGCUAAAUAUGACUCAAAUCCAUGUGAUUGAAUCCAUGGGUCUGGUCCAUGGACCAACUAGGCUCAAGCCUAUAAAACCCACCAGAGAACUCUAUAAAUAAAGCUCUCGAAUUGCUCAUUUUUUAUUUAAAGGAAAAAGACUGAUUUGUCAUUUCUUGGUCGAUCAUUGAAUAAAACGUAAACACAAGUUAAGUAAGGGCUUAUUAUUGCUCGUCUACAAAUAUCCAAAUUUUUAUGCCUAAUAUCCCAUAGAUAGUUCGAACUGGAUAGCAACAAUAAUCAAUUUUAGCUCGAAUGGUUUGUAGAGGAACCCGUCCUUCUCUGAUCCAUUCGACACGUGCAAUUUCUUUUCCGUCUAUACGUCCGGCAAUUUGUACUUGAAUUCCCUUUGUACCCGCCUGUUCAGUUAAUUCAAUAGCUUUUUUCAUUGCUUUGCGAAAUAUCAUUUGUAAGAGUUGAAAAUUUUUCUCUAGAAAGUCUAGAAAGAAUUCGUCUGUUGAAGUCAAUUGCGCUCCCUUGAAGAUUGAACCUCCUUUGAAGAUACAGACUUUCUUCCAAGACUCAAACUUCAAGAACAUCACAUAUUUCGCUUGUUCAAAUCAAGCACAAGCAUCCAAUCGAGAGAGAAUCAGAUGAUCAAAUUCUAGUGAUCGAACCACAUCGCAUCAAAUCAAUAAAAAUAUAACAUUAACUUAAGUUCAACUUCAUUUGAAUCAAAUUUCUUCUGAAAUCUUGUGUGAACAACAAAUUUUUUGUUAAUCUUGCAAACUGGAAUAAAAAACAAUAAUUACACAAAGAAAAAAGAAAUAAAAUAAAAUAAAUAAUAAAUUAACUAAACAAAAAAAAUAUUAAAAGAUUUCCUUGACGCACGUUUGUCACGUCGGAGAAGGGUUUUUGCCACGUGAUGUUGCAAAAAGCCUUCCCGACGUGCUGACAAUGUGCUCUGGUGAACGUUUUUCCGUCGUCGACAUGAUCUACUUUGGGAAAAGUAUCCCCGACGUUCCUUCUGACGUCAAAGUAAACUUUUCCAACGUGUUUUGAGGUUUUUGCCGAUGUGAGGCUGCGUUGGGAAAGACCAUAUUUCUUGUAGUGAUAAUUGAGUAUUUAAAGUUUUUAUUGAAAUUUUAGUAUCAUCUUUAAUUUUUUAUAAGAGAGAUUUUAUUUAUUUUAGUAGUAAUGAUCUCAACUUAGUACAAAGAGUUGGAUAAUUAUAGUAUUACCCUUCAACCAAUAAUAUAAAUUCAAAUGGAUUAAAUACUAAAAUAUUGUUAUUUCUAAAACUUUUACCAAAAUACUGCAAUUUCAAAAUUGUUUACAAAAGUGAUGUUUUUUUUUCUCUAUCUUCGGGCAAGUCUUCAACACUCACCCAUUUCCUUCUUUUUCUCCCCCUCAAGACUCGCCCAAUCUUUGCCUUUUUUUUUUCUUUUUAAAAUUUAUUUAUUUAUAGUUUUUCAUAUAAAUUUUGUUGUUGUCUUUUUAAAAAAAUUAUUUGUACACAUUUUAACUCCAUGGCCUGUUCUUCUUCUUUUUUUAAUAUUUUUAUAUUAAUUUUUAUCUUUGUUCUUCAAAUUUUCAUAUAAUUUUUAAUAAAAUUUUAUAAGAAUUAUUAAAAUUAUUAUUAUUUAUUUAUUUAUCAGGUAUUUAUGUUGUCAAGUUAUACUAAUACUCUACUCUUGAAAUUUUAAAUUUUCUUAAAAAAUAUUUAAUAACAUUAUUAUUCAUGUAUGUUUUUUUGUUACACAAAAAAUACACUCUUGAAACUUCAUAUUUUUUUUAAAAAAAAUUUAAUUUUGUUUAGAGCACCCAACAAAUUUUAAUGAACAUUUAAAAAAAUAUUAACGUUAUCUUGUGUUUGUUAAUUUAUUUUGUCAAUCAUUCGAGUAUUCCUAAAAUUUGAUUUUUUUUUAAAAUUAGUAUAGUUUAGCUUUUAAGAAAAAAAAUUAUCUUAAAAAUUAUAUGAAAAAUUGAAGAAGAAAGAUAAAAAUUUAUAUGAAAAAAUAUUAAAAAAGAAGAAGAAAAAGUAAUGGAGUUAAAAUGUAUACAAAUAAUUUUUUUUAAAAAAAAACAACAAAAUUUAUAUGAAGACGACCAAGAAGAGGAGAAAAAGAAGGGGGUGAGUAAAAGAAGGAAAUGGGCGAGUGUGAAGACUCGCUCAAAGAGAGAAAAAAAGAAGUAUCAGUUUUGAAAUUGCAGUAUUUUCGUAAAAAGUUUUAGAAAUGACAAUAUUUUAGUAUUUAAUCCAAAAAUUAUGAAGAAAUAAAUUUGGAUUCAUUUUUUUAACCAUUACUAAAAAGUGAAAAGUAGAUAACAAAUUGUAAAGUUGUAAUUUUACUUGGUUUUGAAAGAAUCCUAUGUAUUCAUAUUAACGAAAACAAGUUUCUUCCAGAUUUGAUAACAUUUCUACGUGGGUCCUAAGUAUUUCCCAUUUUAAAUAAACGUUGUGUGUGUGAACUGAAUGCAACUGAAAAACAGCAUGCUUUUUGCACACCAUUUAGAAAGCUGUCUCAGCUUUUUCUUCAUCAAACAGUAAGGGAAAAUGGUAUCAAAUUCUUGAAAAUUAACUUUCUUAACCAUUUAAAUUCCAAUAAUCAACCAGCUUUAUAAACUAAAUAUUUCUUGCAAUUAAAAUUGAAUGAAAGGAAUUUUAUUUAUAAACAGCUACAUCAUCCCCUCCAUUUUGUUCGAACAUAUCCAUUCUUCUCAAACCCUAAACAACAACAAUGCAUUCUCCCAACCUCCUCCUCCUCCUCCUCCUCCUCUUCUUCUUCACUGUUUCAUAUGCAGAACUUUGCCAUCCAAAUGACAAAAAGGUCCUCCUCAACAUCAAAAAAGCCUUCAACAAUCCCUACAUUCUUACCUCAUGGAAACCUGAAGAAGAUUGUUGCACUUGGUAUUGUGUUGAAUGUGAUCGGAAGUCCCAUCGGAUCAUUGCCCUCACCGUCUUUGCCGACGACAAACUCUCUGGCCCAAUCCCACCCUUUGUGGGUGACCUCCCGUUCCUCGAAAACCUCAUGUUCCACAAGCUCCCAAAUCUCAUUGGCCCCAUCCCACCUACCAUUGCAAAACUCAACAACCUCAAAUACCUUGACCUAAGCUGGAACGGUCUCUCUGGUCCUGUCCCCAGCUUCCUCGGCUCCCUUUCCAAUCUCGAUGUUCUCGACCUCUCCUUCAACCGUUUCACUGGCUCCAUCCCUAGCUCUCUUGCCAACCUCCGCCGCCUUGGAACUCUCCAUUUGGAUCGAAACAAAUUGACAGGACCCAUACCCGAAUCAUUUGGAAACUUCAAGGGAAAAGUCCCUUAUCUCUACCUAUCCCACAACCAACUGUCUGGAAAAAUUCCAAUUUCUAUGGGGAAAGUGGAUUUCAAUUACAUUGAUUUGUCGAGGAACAAGCUCGUGGGCGAUGGAUCGUUGAUAUUCGGUUCAAAGAAGACGACAGAAAUUGUGGACUUGUCAAGGAACUUGUUAGAGUUCAACAUGUCGAAGGUUGUGUUUCCUCGAACCUUGACUUAUUUGGAUCUUAACCAUAACAAGAUCUUUGGGGAAAUUCCAACCGAGGUUGUGAAGUUGGAGUUGCAGAUGUUUAAUGUGAGUUACAAUGCACUUUGUGGUCGGAUUCCGAUGGGAGGAAAGUUGCAAAGCUUUGACGUAUACUCCUAUUUUCAUAACAAGUGUUUGUGUGGUAAGCCACUUGGUAGCUGCAAAUGAUGAAAUGGUGAAAUCACUCCCCAACACAUUCUCCAUUAUUAUUAGUGAUUUUAUUUUGUUUUUGUUGCUUUUUAGUAUGUUAUGAGAGUUUGUUUAAGUUGGAAUUUGUACAAAUUUGGAGUCUAGGAACUUAAUUUUUAUGUGGUUUUACCACAUGAAGAAUUUAACUUCCAUCUACGUUAGCCUAGAUAUAUCCAAGUGUAAAUUUUCCAACUGUUAAAGCUAUGUCCGUUUUGUAGUUUGUUAUUAUCUUAUUGUAGCGGAAAAUAACGAGUUUGUGUUUAGCUUGUGUUGAGCCAUUAUACAAAUUCAGUACUUUUGUCUCCAAUACAUUAUCGUUUCAUAGCACACUUUUUUAACUUAUGUACAUAAGAAGAUUUUCUAAGACUGCUAUUAAAUAGAUUAAAACUAAUGUAACCUAAAUUAUUACUAUAAGUAUUUUGUCUACUCUUACAAAAUUUAAUUUCAAACCAUUUAGUUUUCAAUUUCAUGUUAAUUAGAUAAAAUUAGAGUGUUUCAUUUCAAUUUUCUUCCGCAACAAUGCUCGAUUAUCAAUCAAUUUAAAUCUAUCCAUCAACGAUAAAAAUCUAAAAUUUUGUUAUAUUUUAUAAAUAUAUUAAUUUAUUCUAUUAUAUUUAAAAAUACUUCCCUAUUUUAAAUUUCUCUUUUCCUCCUUUUUGUUUUUUUCUUUCCACAAGUUUGUUUGGUAUUAUUAAGGCAAAAGAUGAUCCUCUUGGGCAAGCUGUUGAUAAGCCUUGGAAGUACUUGAUUGAUUUUAUUUUGUAAACGGCCGUACGUUCUGCCAAUAUUCCUUCUUGUGAUACCCGUGAAGAGAGAUAAGUAUAGUGUGUAUACAUUCUUCAACUUAAAAUUUAUUUCAACACAACAUUUUAAUUUUCAUUCAAAUGAGAUAAAUAGAAAAAUUAUGUGUGAUAAAUGCUUUAUGGUAAUGUCAACAUUAUCAUUUUUUUCAUUUGAACUUUUCAAAACAACCAUUUUCCAUUAGCUUUUUCUUUUAAAAUGGAUCGGUUGAAAUAAUUAAAUAUAAUAGGGUGAGUAAGUACAAUGUAUUGAAGAUAUGAUAUAUAUAAGAACUAAAUAUACUUAGCAAACUUAUUACACCUCAACUAGAAAUAAUAUAAUCAAUGUAAUUAUAUUCAAACUCAAACAUUGAUUGCUUAUGAAGGAGACUACAAUGUUUGUCCCAACAUGAUAGAAGGAUUACUCUAGUAGCAGUAUAAUUUCAAAUUACUUGAAUCUGAAACAACGUUUCCACAAAUUUGCUCUUAAAUCAUCUUGAGAUUUUUUUUUAAAAAAAGAACUCUUCCAUUUUCGAAUAGGGUGCAAGAAAUGAUAGAACAAAGUUGCUAUGUACAUACUAAGUGUCUAAAAUAUAUAAUAAAUUUAAAAAAAUAUACAAAAAUGGAAAAGAUUUGUCAAAUUUAGGGCAAUUGAAUCAUGAGUUGACCGAUAUCAAACAUAACUCAUUUUAAAAUUAAGAAACGACAAAUUUAAAUUUUGUAUUUGUUAAAUUUAUGCAUGAAUCAUUAAGUUUUAAUUCAAUCUGAAAAUUUCUAACUUUCAAUUUAAUCUACAAAUUAAAAUCAUUUUUGUUUAUGUUUCAAUAUUCAAAUGCUCGGUUUUGCUCGUUUUAGUGUGAAUAUCCAACACGUGCGCCACUAAAAUAAAAUAUCAAUGAAUUUUAGGUUUGGCUUUACAUCGAUUAUACAAGCGUUAGAGGUGAUCAUGCAUAUAUAGAAAAUCUUAAAUGUCUUUUGUAUUUCGUACCGCUUAUCGUUCUGAACUAAUAUUUUGUAUUACGUACUACUUAUCUUUUGGUUACAAUUUAUCAUUUAAUAUAUAUAUAUCAAACAGAUUUUUUUAAAAAUAUAACAAAACAACGAAAUAUUUACACGGUAUAAAACAAUUUUGAAAACGAAAAAAAGCUCACAACCCACAAUAGAAAAUACAAAAAAUAUUCCAUGAUUAAUUGGCGUAAUAUGUUUGAAAAAUGAUUAAACGAUUUUUUUCAAGAUUUUUUUGGUACGCGAUCGUUUAGGUUUGAUACAUGAUCAUUUAAAUUUGAGUAGCCAAAUCAAACGAUGUUUUUAAAAAAUUUUUGGUACGAUCGUUUAGAUUUGACACGUUUACAUUUUUUGGUACUUGGGGAAAGGAAAACUUAAACUAUAACCCAAAUGCAUAGUGUGUGAUAACUUUAGGAAAACCUUUGGGGAAUACAAGAUCUUGCAUAAACUCAUUUUACAAGGACUUUUCAAAGCACCUCAUCUCAUGCCAAAACUUUUAGCACACAUUAGUCUCUACUUAUUCCUUUUUACCUGGACGUUGAACUCCCUCAAGGCUAUCAUGAUGACUCAUUUCACCAUUAGUAUCACCACAAACCCUUAUUCAACUCCAAUUGGUUAAGCGAUAGACUUGAACAUGGAUCACUUUACGUGUACAAUCAUCCUUCUGCCAAGCGAACCACUUAACACAAGACAACCUCUACUCUUAUGUACACAUAAUAGCUAGCUCAUGAUAGAAAUAAAACUAAUGGUUUAUUUACAUACAAGUAUAAGAAGAAAACGUACAUUUACUCAUAAAACAAACUUUUAACCGUCAAAUUUUUCAUAUUAAACAUAAAUCACAUUAGAACAUGCAUUCUACUUUGCAUAACAUUAACAUCAACAUGACACGAGUUUGGAAAGAAAACUUUGUAAAACAUAGUCCCUUUCUUUAGAAAAGUUAAUCGCGAAGCCUAGCUUUCUUUAACUUAGUCCUUCUUUCCCCUUGUCGCUUGUUCUUUCUAUUUCUUCUCUCUACUAAAUGCCAAACUUCAUGAACUUUUCUUCUCGCCUAAUACACUUUCGACAGAGUUGCAAUACUUAGAGUUUCCUUCAUACUUCCUUCGAAACCUUAAAUUUUAUUUAUAUUAGUCCUAAACUGGAUUAGUAAUCACUUAGCUCAUCUUAGCUUGGUAGCUUCUUCUCAGUGCUUUACAAGUGUAAAUUUAACAUAUUCUUUAACCAUGCUUAACGCUAACCUAACACGUAAGAUGUUGACUAAUUUGGAUUAAAAGCUUUACUUAAAUUUCCAACUUUCUUUCCUUGCCAACAGACCCUUUUUCAGCUAACUUAAAACACACACUCUCCUUGCGUCUGGCUAACCGAAACGUGUACUCUUCCUUGCAUCAUUGGUCAAGUCGAAAAAUACAACGCAUUGCUCUUGUACUUAACCAUUUUCACUCAUUUUACCAUAUAAUACGAGUACUUAACCUAAAUUUCUUCUUUUUAACCCUUCGGCUAGCACACAGGCUUCACAACUUAGGUUGGCAACAUUGGCUAGGCGAGUUGCAUACAUGCGGUAAAGGAAAAACACGCGAGCAAGGGCCAUACAUAAAAGUGUGCGACAAGGCUUAGAUGAGCAUGCAAGUAGACAUGCGGGAAAAAGAAGUUUUAGGCAUUUUGAACAAGAGGUAGAAGUGAAAUCCAGGUAUCAUGGCAUAAAAAUACCUAGGUUUUACAAGUGGAAGGCUUGGGGAGGAAACCAUGUAAGUAGGAGGUGUCAAAACAUUUUCAUGCAAGGUCCAUUUUAAAUAGGUAACUUUGGAUGAAUAGAGUUACCAUUCUACCUAUGCAAAUUUUCUCAAAUCAGGUCCAAAGAACUGUGAGUGAGUCUAAUUGUUGAGACAGGGCUGCCAGACUAAAAAGAGUUGAGGAAGAAGUUCAACUUCUAAGCUAAAGCAACAAAGGUCAUUAUGUGGGUGAGAUUGAGGAAUGUUGAGUUCUUGAGGCCAAUAAAACACAUGACAUGGAAUCUUAAGGUAGAAUUUGAAGGUAAGAUACUUAAGACAUUUCUAAACAACUUUAUGGAAGGAAGUUGUCUCAUUUGAGUUACAAAGUUUAAGUUAUUGACCUUUAAAGCUGUAUUUAAGUUCUAAACAAGAAAGAAGUUUGUGAGCAGAGUUGAAGGUUGACUAAGUGACAGGGAAGGCGAGGCAAGUUGGUCAUGCAAGAUAGGCAAAAUAGGUUAGUUUAGGAUUUGGAGCAUAUGUGAGUAAUAAGGCCAGCUCACGGUUAGAUGACGUGAGGUGUGCGCCAAGGCCAUUUGGCAAGGCCUACAUGCGAGAAGGAUGCACACAACGUGCAAGGUGUCACACUCCAUCCCUCAAGCACCUCAACACGUUGCGUUACGUGGUAUGACUUGAGCAUUCUUGACGUUUUUAAAUGCUAAAAACCUUAGGUUAAGUCUUUAAGCCUUGCUUAAUCACCUAAUGACUUAACUUACAACUUGUAUCCUUAACUUAAGGCGAUAAAACAUAACUUGAUAUACUUUUUGAUAGAGAACCAUAACACAGCGGAAGGUAACAUAAACUUGAACUUUUAUUAGCUUAAACCAUGCAUUUUACAACAAACUUUACAAAUAAAGUCUUUUCAAAAUAACUUUAAACAUAAGCUAAACGCCUCGCCAAGCUUCCUUGUCUAGCAAAAUUAUAUCCGUUUUCCAACUUAGCUUUAACACAUGCUCUCCCCAACCUUAAUGCCUCAAACCUAGUGAAUGGAAACUUUGAAACAUAAGUCAAAAUACUUAGUAAGGUUUUAAGAGAAACCCUUUAGAAAUACAUUUCAUAAACAUCAUCAUUUCAUAUCAUCGCAUAAACAUACAAUAGUCUUGCAUUUCUUUCAUCGAGAACGUGAACCAUUUCGCACUUAAAGACUCAUCUCCUUGUGUUUAGACUACUCUGAUGGUCUUCUCAUUAACAACAUCUGAGAAUAUAAUUUCUUGGUUCAUUCCUCGUUGCUCAGACUGUCAAACACAAUACACAUCUUGUAUACAUUACCAGACUUUAUUUCACUAUGCAUGUCUUUUCUACAUGACCGCCUUUAACCUUAUAUGCAUAUAACAGUUAGCUCUUUUUAUAGAAAUUAAGACUAAUGCUUUAAAACAUAUUUUAUCAUUCAUUUUAGCACAAAACAUGGUUUUAAAAACAUAAUCAUUCAUUUCAAAUACUUUGAAAUCAUUAUUUACAAAUCUCAAAACACAGAGAAAAUGUUAAAAUAUACAAACACUUGAAAAAUAUCACUCACAAAAACUUGGUUUAUCCCUUCUCGCAGAACGCUUAGCUCACUUCUUCUUCUUCUUCUCGCCUAGAAGCAAUCCACAUAGUAACACUUCACUUCACAAAUUCUCAGAUUAAACUCGUAAAACAUUAUGGCUUCUUCCUCUAUUAUUUAUGCUAAUCUUAAAGCUAGAUUAGUCAUCUCAAAGCUUCUAAAAUAUUGUCAGAUCCCACGUAAGGCAUUACGAGCAUAAGCUUAAUACUUCACUUAAUUUUACUUUACUUUCAGCUUAACACAUAACUCAUGUCAAGUCAGAUUAGACAUCUCUUCGCCUGGUUUCUUGUUGCAUGGUACUUUGAUCAAAAUGCCUAAUAGACUUUAAACUCCUGAUGCCUUCUUGACUCGGGUCAUCCUAACACAAACUUCAACACGCAAGCUUCAACGCAAAACGCUCAUUCAACACUUAGUGUUUUGACCCUUCUAUUCCAAACACAAGUCUCAUAUAAGGCGUGCGACCAUGGUGUGCCCGACAAGCCAAGUGCAAUGUUAUCACGUGGCCAAGCUACUGAGAGCCUUGCAUGCGCGCGAGCCACCCAGUUGCCCAUGUCUUGCGCACUAGCCAUUCCAAAGGCCUUUUUUCAGUUGUUAUAUAUAUAUAUAUAGUCAUUUUUAGUAAAGUUUGGAUAUUUUCUAAAGUAAAGAGGUUAAUUAAGGCUUAAUUAUGAUUUUUCAAGGACAAAAAGAGUUAAAAGAGAAUUUCCAAGUCAAGCGGUUAAACUCUGAGUGAAUAAAAUUAAUUUCUAUGUUUAUUUAUGAACAUGAAUUUAAAGCUAAUAGUUUCCUUACAUGUUUGAAAUGCUUAUAAUAAUAGUUUAGUUAGUUUAUAUUUUAAUAUUGUUUAAUUUUAACUACUUUAUAAUCUAUUUUAUAGUCUAUUAUAGUUUUUUACCUAAAAAAACUACGGAUUUUAUUUUCUAUUAAUUUUUUUCAUUGUAAAUUUUUAAAAUAUAUUUUCCACAAGAGAUAGACACAAAUAGAAAUAAAAAUCAAAUGUAAUGAAUUUAGUCUUUUAGUUGUUUUUGAAUAGCGGGUAAAUAGUUUGUUUGUUUUUUUUUUUUCCAUUUUUGAAAAGACGGCUUUCCAUAAUCAUUAUUAUUAUUACCGUUUAAUCAAUUUCAUGGACUUAGUUUAUUAUUUAUUAAAAGUAUGUAAAUGAAAAUUCAAUCGUGUAUAAUACAAUAACUAGGUUAAACGAGUCUAUUUUUAUAAAUAUGAAAAUUAAAGAAAAAAAAAGAAGUAUGUUUUGAAUACUAAGGACGAAAUGGGUAUAUCUGUAAGAAGAAAGAAACGUUUUGAAAAUUUAGAAACAAAACAGGCAUGUUGAUUAAGACUUGACCAAUAUAAAGGUAAUUUUGUAUGAAUUUUUCCGUCCGUCAAGUUUCUUUAAGAUGAUGGUGUUUUUCAAGCAAAAUAUGAUGGUGUUUGGGAAGCUGUUGACAAGUCGUGUUGUAAGUACUUGAUUGAUUUUUUAUUAUGCAAACAUCCGUACGUUCUGACAGUAGUCCUUGUGAUGCCCGUGAAGAAAGAGAAGUUAGUAUAGAUAUGAAUUUAUUUCAAAAUAACAUUUUCAUUCAUAUGAAAUAAAUACAAAAUGAUGUGACGAAUCCUUGUAUGACAAUUACUUCUAGGAAUUUUAAUACAGUCAGGAACUUUAGGACAUGAUUCAAUUAUAUCCUUAGCAUUAACAAAAGUUUUCUUCAUAACUUUUUAAUUUCUGCAACUGUCUCAAAACAACCAUUUGUAUCAGCUUCUCCACUUCUCCAUUUAAAAUGGAUAUAAAAUUAUUGAAUAUGACGGAGGGAGUAACAUGUCCACAAGUUUUUAUUUGGAUUUAUUCUCGAACUUUUAGGGGUAAUUGGAACAUUCGUUUUAAGAACAUAACCUAUUUUAGUAAAAUUAUUUCAAAAGAUGUUAUUAAAAGUAGUUACAAAUUUAAUCAAAUUCCAUGGUCUAUGAUAGACAUUAAUAAAUAUUUAUCAGUGUUGAUAUGAAAAAAUUAUCAUUUAUUGACAAUGAUAUACACUAAUAAAUAUUUAUCAGUGUUGAUAUGAAAAGUUAUCAGUGAUAAAUGAUAAAUGANNNNNNNNNNNNNNNNNNNNNNNNNNNNNNNNNNNNNNNNNNNNNNNNNNNNNNNNNNNNNNNNNNNNNNNNNNNNNNNNNNNNNNNNNNNNNNNNNNNNNNNNNNNNNNNNNNNNNNNNNNNNNNNNNNNNNNNNNNNNNNNNNNNNNNNNNNNNNNNNNNNNNNNNNNNNNNNNNNNNNNNNNNNNNNNNNNNNNNNNNNNNNNNNNNNNNNNNNNNNNNNNNNNNNNNNNNNNNNNNNNNNNNNNNNNNNNNNNNNNNNNNNNNNNNNNNNNNNNNNNNNNNNNNNNNNNNNNNNNNNNNNNNNNNNNNNNNNNNNNNNNNNNNNNNNNNNNNNNNNNNNNNNNNNNNNNNNNNNNNNNNNNNNNNNNNNNNNNNNNNNNNNNNNNNNNNNNNNNNNNNNNNNNNNNNNNNNNNNNNNNNNNNNNNNNNNNNNNNNNNNNNNNNNNNNNNNNNNNNNNNNNNNNNNNNNNNNNNNNNNNNNNNNNNNNNNNNNNNNNACCCGUGUGCUGGGCCGGUUCAAGCCAAUAAAUUUGGUUUUUGGGCCGGUUCAAGCGGUUUCGGUUGGUUUUUUUAGCCGGUUCGAAGUUUUUGGGAGUGGUUCUGUACUACACCGAAUUAAUUAUGUAAUAAUUUAGCACUUAGCUUAAUUUAGGAGCCAAAAAUCAGUCCAUUUUAGGGUGUUUUUUUUAUUUAUGCAUGUGAUGUAUGAUUAAAUUACUUUAAAUUUGUAUGUGCAUUUUGAAUGUCAUAUAGAUUUAAAAUCCCACCAUAGGUUAACAUGUUCAUGCAUUAAAAUGUAUGAUAUAAAGGUUAUAUUGUAUUGUAUGCAUGUUAAUUGAUUAAUAUGGAAAUUAAUUAAUAUGAUUAAUUAAUUAUUUAAUUAAUUAAGUUAUUCUUGAUUAAAUAUGAUUUAAUCAAAUUAAUUAAUUAUUGUUUGAUUUAAUUUAAUUAAAUAUGAUUUAAUUAAAGUUAAAUAAAUUAAAAUCCAUAUUAAUUGAUUGUUUUUAUAUUAUAUAUUGAUAAAAUGAUUGAUUAAGUUUAAAAGUUUUUAUAAGUGUUAUAAAAUAAAUUAGACUUUUAAAAUCAAUAACAAAGAUUAAAUGCAUGCUCACUUAGGUUAAACAUAUCUUCCAUUUUUCAUAGAAAUAGGUCGAUAUCUUGUAAAACUGGUUACAAAAGGCUCACCUGGUUCAAUCUUGUCAACAAGUCAGAUAAGAUGACUAAGGUUGGAGGUUCUUAAGUUGACGGUUUACGGAACACCUCCUACCUGGAGAUCGUAAUCAGUUCUUGAGCCUAGUUAACCUAGUUUUAUGAGCAUUCGUGAGAGGUGUGAGGUAAUAAAAAUGGUUUUUCACCUAGACAUCAUAGGUUAAAAUCCUGUAUAAUGGUUAUACUUGGAUGUUUUAUCUAGACUUAAGAUUUGUUUAAGUUAGCCUAAAUAUAAAUCUUGAAGUUUGGAUUACCCUAUUUUUUUCUUUUAGAACACUUCAACUAGAGAAAAAUAAUGUAUUUUAGCUCUAGUGUCCCUAAGAGUUCACACCGUGAGGUCCAUGCAGGGCUUUGUGCCGUGCAUAGGAGCGGCCUCCCUUCGGAGAGUGUUUGCAUGGAUCAAAAUCAAGGUGAAUAGGGGAAGUAGUUCAUAGUAAGUGGGUGAGGGAUUUGUGGCAGCACAUCCCACGGUCUCUUCCAUUAGGUCGCACCGUGAGAUUUCUAUAAUAUGCCUGCUUGUCUGCCCUGGAGCGACGUUCCCUUCGGAGGGUUGUAUUAUAGGAUUCGGAACACCGCGAACUCCAAAACUGGAUAGGAUUUCUUAGAUUAGUUUUCAUAAAUGAUUCUAAUCUAUGAAAUCUGAAAAUGGUGGGUAACACUUACAAGAAUUACUAAGUUGUUAGUAUAUUCUUGACUAAAGUAGCGAUAACUAAGUGCUAUAAAGAAUAAAGAGUUAUUCUUGAGAUAGCAUCUAGUCAAGAUUGUCUUGGUUCAAAGGAGGAAUAAUCAACUACCCUUCGGAGAAGGUUGUUCUAAACCUUUGAAAUAUUGUUGCAAAAUACAAAUAAUGAAAGGGUACAUUAUUAGUAAUUGCUAAAUUAGAUUGGAUAUUUUUUAUGAUUAUAGUUUUUUCCUAAAAGGAAUAUGUUUGUUUUUCAGCAUGAAUAGCUCAAUAGUUCGACUUUUAGCUUCCGAAAAACUUAAUGGCGAUAAUUAUGCGGCUUGGAAAUCAAAUCUUAACACAAUACUAGUGGUUGGUGAUUUAAGAUUUGUCUUAACUGAGGAAUGUCCUCAAAACCCUGCCUCUAAUGAUAACCGAACUAGUCGGGAUGCAUAUGAUCGAUGGAUAAAAGCUAAUGAAAAAGCCGUGUCUACAUUCUUGCCAGCAUGUCUGAUGUAUUGGCAAAGAAACAUGAAUCCUUAGCCACGGCUAAAGAGAUUAUGAAUUCAUUAAGGGGAAUGUUUGGGCAACCAGAAUUGUCCUUAAGACACGAGGCAGUCAAAUACAUUUACACUAAGCGUAUGAAGGAAGGGACCUCUGUUAGAGAACAUGUUCUUGACAUGAUGAUGCACUUCAACAUCGCUGAAGUGAAUGGUGGUCCCAUCGAAGAGGUUAAUCAAGUUAGUUUUAUCUUAGAGUCUCUUCCGAAGAGCUUCAUUCCAUUCCAAACGAAUGCGUCUUUGAACAAGAUAGAAUUUAACUUGACAACCCUUCUGAAUGAACUCCAGCGAUUCCAAAACCUUACUAUGGGUAAAGGAAAACAAGUGGAAGCAAAUGUUGCUACCACAAAAAGAAAAUUUAUAAGAGGAUCGUCCUCUAAAACCAAAGCUGGACCCUCAAAACCUAAUGCUCAAAUAAAAAAGAAGGGAAAGGGAAAGACUCCCAAACAGAACAAGGGUAAGAAAAAGGUGCAGAAAAGGUAAGUGUUACCAUUGUGGCCAAAACGGGCACUGGUUAAGAAAUUGCCCAAAAUACCUUGCAGAAAAAAAGGCAGAGAAGGAAACACAAGGUAAAUAUGAUUUACUAGUUGUAGAAACAUGUUUAGUGGAAUAUGAAAAUUGUACCUGGAUACUAGAUUCAGGAGCCACUAAACCAUAUUUGCUUCUCAUUUCAGGAAAAUAGUUCUUGAAAAAGCUUUCAGAAGGCGAGAUCACUCUCAAGGUUGGAACAGGAGAGAUGGUCUCAACUUCAGCAAUGGGAGAUUUAAAGUUGUUUUUUAGAGAUAGAUAUGUCAUACUUAAGAAUGUCUUAUAUGUACCUCAAAUGAAAAGAAAUUUAAUAUCUAUCUCUUGUAUUUUGGAACAAAUGUAUAGAAUAUCUUUUGAAAUUAAUGAAGCGUUCGUUUUCUAUAAAGGUAUUCUAGUUUGUUCUGCUAUACUUGAAGACAACUUAUAUAAGUUAAGACCAACCAGAGCAAAUUUUGUCUUAAAUACUGAAAUAUUCAGAACAGCUGAAACUCAGAAUAAAAGACAAAAAGUUUCUUCUAAUGCCUAUUUAUGGCACUUAAGACUUGGUCACAUAAAUCUCAAUAGGAUUGGGAGAUUAGUUAAAAGUGGGCUUCUAAAUCAGUUAGAAAAUAAUACUUUACCUCUUGUGAAUCUUGUCUUGAAGGAAAAAUGACCAAGAGAUCUUUUACUGGAAAAGGUCUAAGAGCCAAAACCCUUAGAGCUCGUACAUUCGGACCUUUGUGGACCAAUGAAUGUCAAAGCUCGAGGUGGAUAUGAAUAUUUCAUUAGCUUCAUUGAUGAUUAUUCAAGGUAUGGUCAUAUUUACCUAAUACAUCAUAAGUCUAAUAGUCUUGAAAAGUUCAAAGAAUAUAAGGCUGAAGUAGAAAACGAAUUAGGUAAAACAAUAAAAAUACUUCGAUCAGAUCGAGGUGGAGAGUAUAUGGACUUACGAUUCCGAGACUAUUUAAUAGAAAAUGGAAUCCAGUCACAACUCUCUGCACCUAGUACACCUCAACAGAACGGUGUAUCAGAAAGAAGAAACUGGACCUUGUUAGACAUGGUUCGCUCUAUGAUGAGUUUUUCUCAGAUGUCAGAUUCUUUUUGGGAUAUGCUUUAGAAACAGCUGCUUAUAUUUUGAAUAAUGUUCCCUCUAAAAGUGUUUCAGAAACACCUUAUGAGCUAUGGAAAGGGCGUAAAGGCAGUUUACGUCAUUUUAGAAUUUGGGGUUGUCCAGCACACGUGUUGGUACAAAAUCCUAAGAAAUUGAAACAUCGUUCAAAAUUAUGCUUUUUCAUAGGUUAUCCAAAAGAAUCAAGAGGUGGUUUGUUUUAUGAUCCUCAAGAAAAUAAAAUAUUUGUGUCAACAAAUGCCACAUUCUUAGAGGAAGACCACAUCAGGGAUCAUCAACCUCGUAGUAAACUAGUAUUAAAAGAAAUUUCCAAAAGUGCUAUAGAUAAACCUAGUUCAUCCACUAAGGUAGUUGAUAAGACUAGGAAAUCUGGUCAAUCACAUCCUUCUCAACAGUUGAGAGAGCCUCGACGUAGUGGGAGGGUUGUUCAUCAGCCUGAUCGCUAUUUGGGUUUAAUUGAAACUCAAGUCGUCAUACCUGACGAUGGCAUAGAGGAUCCAUUAACCUAUAAACAGGCAAUGAAAGAUGUAGAUCGUGACCAAUGGAUCAAAGCCAUGGACCUCGAAAUGGAGUCUAUGUACUUUAAUUCUGUCUGGACUCUAGUAGAUCAACCAAAUGACGUAAAACCUAUUGGUUGUAAAUGGAUCUACAAGAGAAAACGAGACCAUGCCGGUAAAGUACAGACUUUCAAGGCUCGACUUGUGGCAAAGGGUUAUACCAGAGAGAGGGAGUAGACUAUGAGGAAACUUUCUCUCCUGUUGCCAUGUUAAAGUCAAUUAGAAUACUCUUAUCCAUCGCCACUUUUUAUGAUUAUGAAAUUUGGCAGAUGGAUGUCAAGACAGCUUUUUUGAACGGUAAUCUUGAAAGAGUAUCUAUAUGUCUCAACCAGAGGGGUUUAUAAAACAAGAUCAAGAACAAAAGGUUUGUAAGCUUAAAAAAUCCAUUUAUGGAUUAAAACAAGCUUCUAGAUCCUGGAAUAUAAGAUUUGAUAUUGCGAUCAAAAUCUUAUGGCUUUGAACAAAAUGUUGACGAGCCUUGUGUUUACAAAAGGUCGUCAAUUCCAUUAUAGCAUUUUUUAGUCUUAUAUGUAGAUGAUAUUCUACUUAUUGGAAAUGACGUAGGAUAUCUUACUGAUAUCAAGAAAUGGCUAGCUAUGCAAUUUCAAAUGAAAGAUCUGGGAGAUGCACAAUACGUUCUCGGAAUCCAAAUUGUUCGAAACCGUAAGAACAAAACACUAGCCAUGUCUCAAGCAUCUUACAUAGACAAAAUGUUGUCUAGAUAUAAAAUGCAGAAUUCCAAAAAGGGUCUGCUGCCGUACAGAUAUGGAAUUCAUUUGUCAAAGGAACAAUGUCCUAAGACACCUCAAGAAGUUGAGGAUAUGAGAAAUAUUCCCUAUGCUUCCGCUGUUGGAAGUUUAAUGUAUGCAAUGUUAUGUACUAGACCUGACAUUUGCUACUCAGUAGGGAUGGUCAGUAGGUAUCAAUCCAAUCAUGGACGUGAUCACUGGACAGCCGUUAAAAACAUUCUACAUGCUCAUGUAUCGUACAAAGGAUCUGAUCCUUACUGGAUACACUGAUUCAGAUUUCCAAACUAAUAAAGAUGUUAGAAAGUCUACAUCAGAUCAGUAUUUACUCUAAAUGGAGGAGCAGUAGUUUGGAGAAGCAUAAAGCAAACUUGUAUAGCUGAUUCCACAAUGGAAGCUGAUCAUUUUACAAAAGCCCUCACGGCUAAAGUGUUUGAGGGUCACCUACACAGUUUAGGUGUACGAUGUUUGUAAACUAGGACAAGUGGGAGACUUAUUGGCCAUGUGCCCUAGUUUCAUAUAUAUUCUCUCACACCACAUCUCUCAUACCACUAGGAAUUUUAGUCCAAGUGGGAGUUUGUUGGAAUUUUUUGUCCUAAAACUCGUAGUUUGUAAAUCAUAUUCUAUUCAAUAAAGUUGUUAUUGAGAAAUUAAAUAUUAUAAUCUUAAAUCCAAUAAAUCAAAGUUCCAAGGCUAUUUUUUGAAUAAACUUGAACUUUAUGUGUAAACAUAAACGUGGAUCAAGUUCGAGUAUAUAGCCUAAAUAGUCUAUAGUAUAUGAAAUAAAGGUUGGGCGCCUUAUUUGAGAGACUAUGGAUGCGGCCCACUUUGUAGUACAAACGAUGUGAUCCUAAUCGUUCAUGUAGAGACAUGAAAGUGGGGGCAUCCUAUGUAAAAUGUUUACAUAAGACUGAACCAUGAAUUAGUCAUUUUUACGUUAUAACACCGUUUACUGUUUAAAACUGACUAUCUCAAUUAUUGAUGACCUAGGUAACUUAGUCUUAAUCCUGAGUUAACUAUGAACUCCUGUUCAUACGAGAUUAUCCUUAGAUCUGCAUAGGUGAGGGCAGCUCAUCAGCGUUGGCCCAAUAAGCCUCCCAUUUCAGGGGUAAGAUCGGGUGGAUAGCUGGGAACAUAGGGUACAAGAUGGAAUUCACUCCUACCCGCUUUAGGGUUAGUAGAUAGGUUGCUCUCUUAAGCACUGAAUCCAAGUCUUGAACAAGGGGCCCCACCCUCUCAUUGGCCCGAGAGGGAUUAAGUUUAUAGGUUGAACCUUAAACCAAUUGUUCAAUAGUGGAUUAGUGGGACUUAAGGAGCAAGAUGUAAUCUUGGGGGUAAAACGGUAUUUUGACCCAGCCAAGGUUACGAGCAACCUGUGAAGGAUUAACUUACUGAUUAUGGUUUUAUCAAAUGGACACAAAUAUAUCUAUAGUGAGGGGAGUGCAACUACGGGACUUUAGUGGAAUGACCCGUUAGUUAACGAAUGUUGAUUAACUCGGUUUAAAAGAGUUUAGCUAGUUAAUCUUGAAUCGUUGGAGCCCAUGAUCUAUAGGUCCAUUAGGUUCCUCUGCUAGCUCAUAUGGAUUAAACUUAGAACAGUGUGAUGAAAUAAGUCGAAUUGUUCGAAUAGGGAGAAGAAAGGAAACCGACAUAUACAGUGAUAUAAUCGUCGGUCUUCUAAUUAGAAAUAGAGCUUUAUGUUUUACAUACUAUAAGUAUGAAUGCGGAUUCAUACUAAGAAGCUCGGAAUUGGUCAAAAAUAGUAAAAAGUCAAAAUGUUGACUUUUGACUUUGAAAAGUCAAACUUUUGACCGGCCUUAUAUUCAAAUGUGAUUUGAAUUUUGGAAAAAUGAAUGCGGAUUCAUGCUCGGGAGGUUGGAAUUAGUCAAGACGGACAAAAUGGUAAAAGUCAAAAUAUUGACUUUUGACUUAGAAAAGUCAAAGUUUGACUUUGGACUAGAAAAAUCUAAUGACAUUUUACCCUUGGACUAAGUUAGUGGGAAAAUCCAACAUUUUGUUGGAUAAUCCACUAACUCUUAGUGGGAUAUGUGGCUAUAUGAGAUAUAGACACCUAGCCCACUAAGUUCCACUAAUUGUUAGUGGAAUAUUAGGUGUUGAGAUUUGGCAAUUGAAUUGCAUGCAUUUUUGCAUGUAAUUAGGCUAUAAAUAGAGAUGUUUUCAAAUGUUGAAGGACUUUUGCCUCUUUUAUCAUUUUCAUAAUCUCAACAAAAGAAGAA
rnacentral:lncRNA from 1 species